GAGCUAAGGCAGGUCCAUGGUAGAACUGGGGCUAAGACAGGUCCAUGGUAGGGCUGGGGCUAAGGCAGGUCCAUGGUAGAACUGGGGCUAAGGCAGGUCCAUGGUAGAACUGGGGCUAAGGCAGGUCCAUGGUAGGGCUGGGGCUAAGGCAGGUCCAUGGUAGAACUGGGGCUAAGGCAGGUCCAUGGUAGGGCUGGGGCUAAGGCAGGUCCAUGGUAGAACUGGGGCUAAGGCAGGUCCAUGGUAGAACUGGGGCUAAGGCAGGUCCAUGGUAGGGCUGGGGCUAAGGCAGGUCCAUGGUAGAACUGGGGCUAAGGCAGGUCCAUGGUAGGGCUGGGGCUAAGGCAGGUCCAUGGUAGAACUGGGGCUAAGGCAGGUCCAUGGUAGGGCUGGGGCUAAGGCAGGUCCAUGGUAGGGCUGGGGCUAAGGCAGGUCCAUGGUAGGGCUGGGGCUAAGGCAGGUCCAUGGUAGGGCUGGGACUAAGGCAGGUCCAUGGUAGAACUGGGGCUAAGGCAGGUCCAUGGUAGGGCUGGGGCUAAGGCAGGUCCAUGGUAGAACUGGGGCUAAGGCAGGUCCAUGGUAGGGCUGGGGCUAAGGCAGGUCCAUGGUAGAACUGGGGCUAAGGCAGGUCCAUGGUAGGGCUGGGGCUAAGGCAGGUCCAUGGUAGAACUGGGGCUAAGGCAGGUCCAUGGUAGGGCUGGGGCUAAGGCAGGUCCAUGGUAGAACUGGGGCUAAGGCAGGUCCAUGGUAGGGCUGGGGCUAAGGCAGGUCCAUGGUAGAACUGGGGCUAAGGCAGGUCCAUGGUAGGGCUGGGGCUAAGGCAGGUCCAUGGUAGAACUGGGGCUAAGGCAGGUCCAUGGUAGAACUGGGGCUAAGGCAGGUCCAUGGUAGAACUGGGGCUAAGGCAGGUCCAUGGUAGGGCUGGGGCUAAGGCAGGUCCAUGGUAGAACUGGGGCUAAGGCAGGUCCAUGGUAGGGCUGGGGCUAAGGCAGGUCCAUGGUAGGGCUGGGGCUAAGGCAGGUCCAUGGUAGAACUGGGGCUAAGGCAGGUCCAUGGUAGAACUGGGGCUAAGGCAGGUCCAUGGUAGGGCUGGGGCUAAGGCAGGUCCAUGGUAGGGCUGGGACUGUCCUAUGUCCUAUGAUGUUAAUCCCAUGAUGUUCCACAUGUUCCACUGUGCCAGAGAUCUGAUGAUCAAAGCUGAUCAGCUUGAAGUUGAUGUACAGUAGGAAAGCAUCAGAUGGGGAGGAGUUUGUAAAGGC